AUUAAAUUAGCAUAAUUAAUGUUUUAAAUUUAGAAUUUAAGGAAAGAGUAAGCUCUCUAUUUAAUA
rnacentral:tRNA from 1 species